rnacentral:rRNA from 1 species
CCUACGGGAGGCAGCAGUGGGGAAUAUUGCACAAUGGGGGAAACCCUGAUGCAGCGACGCCGCGUGAGGGAAGAAGGAAUUCGGUUUGUAAAGCUCUAUUAGCAGGGAAGAAAAUGACGGUACCUGAGGAAUAAGCCCCGGCUAACUACGUGCCAGCAGCCGCGGUAAUACGUAGGGGGCAAGCGUUAUCCGGAUUUACUGGGUGUAAAGGGAGCGUAGACGGGAGUGCAAGUCUGGAGUGAAAGGCGGGGGCUCAACCCCCGGACUGCUCUGGAAACUGUACGGCUGGAGUGCGGGAGAGGUAAGUGGAAUUCCUGGUGUAGCGGUGAAAUGCGUAGAUAUUAGGAGGAACACCAGUGGCGAAGGCGGCUUACUGGACUGUAACUGACGUUGAGGCACGAAAGCGUGGGGAGCAAACAGGAUUAGAUACCCCUGUAGUC